GGAGAGAUGGCCGAGUGGUCGAAGGCGGGCGACUCGAAAUCGUCUAGGCGGUGAUGAGCCGUCUCGUGGGUUCAAAUCCCACUCUCUCCGCCA
rnacentral:tRNA from 1 species